GCACAACGCGAAGAACCUUACCAGGUCUUGACAUCCCGGUGACCACUAUGGAGACAUAGUUUCCCCUUCGGGGGCAACGGUGACAGGUGGUGCAUGGUUGUCGUCAGCUCGUGUCGUGAGAUGUUGGGUUAAGUCCCGCAACGAGCGCAACCCUUAUUCUUAGUUGCCAUCAUUCAGUUGGGCACUCUAAGGAGACUGCCGGUGAUAAACCGGAGGAAGGUGGGGAUGACGUCAAAUCAUCAUGCCCCUUAUGACCUGGGCUACACACGUGCUACAAUGGACGGUACAAACGGUUGCCAACCCGCGAGGGGGAGCUAAUCCGAUAAAACCGUUCUCAGUUCGGAUUGUAGGCUGCAACUCGCCUACAUGAGGCCGGAAUCGCUAGUAAUCGCGGAUCAGCAUGCCGCGGUGAAUACGUUCCCGGGUCUUGUACACACCG
rnacentral:rRNA from 1 species